UUGCUUCAGCAGCACAUAUACUAAAAUUGGAAGGAUACAGAGAAGAUUAGCAUGGCCCCUGCACAAGGAUGAUACGUAAAUUCAUGAAGGGUGAAGGGUUCCUUUUUUUU
ensembl:snRNA U6 U6 spliceosomal RNA